rnacentral:rRNA from 1 species
UACGUAGGGGGCAAGCGUUGUCCGGAUUUAUUGGGCGUAAAGAGCGUGUAGGCGGCUUUACAGGUCCGUUGUGAAAACUCGAGGCUCAACCUCGAGACGCCGGUGGAAACCGUAAGGCUAGAGUCCGGAAGAGGAGAGUGGAAUUCCGGGUGUAGCGGUGGAAUGCGUAGAGAUCCGGAAGAACACCGGUGGCGAAGGCGGUUAGCUGGGUCAGUUGCUGGACACUUGAGGCGCGACAGCGUGGGGAGCAAACAGG